rnacentral:rRNA from 1 species
AGAGUUUGAUUCUGGCUCAGAACGAACGCUGGCAGCGUGGAUUAGGCAUGCAAGUCGAACGGGAAGCCGAUGAUCAAUCUUUCGGGAAAGUGAGUCGGUGGAGAGUGGCGAAAGGGUGAGUAACGCGUGGAUAAUCUGCCUCUAAGUUGGGAAUAACCACUCGAAAGAGGGGCUAAUGCCGGAUGUGGUUGCUCGUCGUUGGACGGGUCAACUAAAGGUGGGGAUCCUUCGGGACCUGCCGCUUGGAGAGGAGUCCGCGUCCCAUCAGCUUGUUGGUAGGGUAAUGGCCUACCAAGGCUUACGGGUAGGUGGUCUGAGAGGAUGGUCACCCACACUGGGACUGAGACACUGCCCAGACUCCUACGGGAGGCUGCAGUCGAGGAUCAUUCGCAAUGCGCGAAAGCGUGACGAUGCGACGCUGCGUGGAGGGUGAAGGCCUUCGGGUCGUAAACUCCUGUCAUUCGGGAAAAAUGGCAAGAGAGUUAACAACUCUCUUGUUUGAUGGUACCGAAAGAGGAAGCCACGGCUAACUCUGUGCCAGCAGCCGCGGUAAUACAGAGGUGGCGAGCGUUGUUCGGAUUCACUGGGCGUAAAGGGUGCGUAGGCGGCUUUGUGUGUCGGUUGUGAAAGCCUGUGGCUCAACCACAGAACUGCGACCGAAACUACAGAGCUAGAGUGCAGGAUGGGAGAGCGGAAUUCUUGGUGUAGCGGUGAAAUGCGUUGAUAUCAAGAAGAACACCGGUGGCGAAGGCGGCUCUCUGGAAUGUCACUGACGCUGAGGCACGAAAGCUGGGGGAGCAAACAGGAUUAGAUACCCUGGUAGUCCCAGCCGUAAACGGUGUGGACUUGGUGUUGGAGGAAUGGACCCCUUCAGUGCCGGAGCUAACGCGUUAAGUCCACCGCCUGGGGAGUACGGCCGCAAGGUUAAAACUCAAAGAAAUUGACGGGGGCCCGCACAAGCGGAGGAGCAUGUGGCUUAAUUCGAUGCAACGCGAAGAACCUUACCAGGGCUUGACAUGUAGCUGCACGCCCGCCGAAAGGUGGGAAGCCUUCGAGGGUGCUACACAGGUGCUGCAUGGCUGUCGUCAGUUCGUGCCGUGAGGUGUUGGGUUAAGUCCCGCAACGAACGCAACCCUUGUGUCUAGUUGCCACUCCGUCUUUGGCGGAAGCACUCUAGACAGACUGCCCGUACAAGCGGGAGGAAGGUGGGGAUGACGUCAAGUCAGUAUGGCCCUUACGCCCUGGGCUGCACACGUGCUACAAUGGUCGGUACAGUGGGAUGCAAUACCGCGAGGUGGAGCCAAUCCAUAAAACCGGCCUCAGUUCGGAUUGGAGUCUGCAACUCGACUCCAUGAAGUUGGAUUCGCUAGUAACGGCGCAUCAGCUACGGCGCCGUGAAUACGUUCCCGGGCCUUGUACACACCGCCCGUCACAUCAUGAAAGCCGUCUGCACCCGUAGUCACUGAGCUAACCCGCAAGGGAGGCAGGUGCCGAAGGUGUGGGUGGUGAUUGGGAUGAAGUCGUAACAAGGUA